rnacentral:tRNA from 1 species
UGGAUCACCUCCUAACAGGGAGACAACAAAAUGUUUAAUAUUAUUAUUUUGUCACCUUAGGUCGAUCGGUAUCUCACGUUCUUAAACUUAUUAAGAAUUUCAUUUCCUAAGUUUUUCUAGGUCACACCCAUUAUUUUUCCUGGGCCAUUAGCUCAGGUGGUUAGAGCGCACCCCUGAUAAGGGUGAGGUCCCUGGUUCAAGUCCAGGAUGGCCCAUAUCUCUAUGUUGGGGGUAUAGCUCAGUUGGUAGAGCGCCUGCUUUGCAAGCAGGAUGUCAGCGGUUCGAGUCCGCUUACCUCCACUGAUUACCACCUCUUCCAUAAUUCUGGAUAAAGGAAAAGUUUUGAGUUGUGAUCAAAUUCUGAACGAAUCUAGCUUCCUAAUGAAAUCAUUAAGAUGCUGGACUCAUUGAAUUAAUUUCAUUGUUUUCAGAGAACCUUGACAACUGCAUAGAUUAUUUUUAAAGACAAUAAGCAUCUUUAAUGAUGCAGAUUUUUUAUUUGUGCGAAUGCAUUAAUAACAAUUCUAUUAAGCUGAUGCUUCAAUUAUGAAGUUAUUGGUCAAGCUACAAAGGGCUCACGGAGGAUACCUAGGCACACAGAGGCGAUGAAGG